GUCGGGUCCCAAAAUACGUGGUCUAAAGUCCUUUGGGCUCCUGCCGCUGCCAGCACUGAUCAUAUGCUCUUGACCCUGGUCGGGUGGGGGGAUGUCUGGAUACCUCCUCUGUGGAAAGAACUGGCCACACAUCCGCAGAGGUGACUCGGGCUGAGAACCCAGGCUCCUCCUCCCUUUGGUGACACGCCCCUCGGUCCCUCACUGGCACUUCUCCCUCCGGCCACACGGCGGCGUCUCGCCAUAGCGCAGCGGCCGAUGGUACAGCCCGCUCCCCCCUCGCGCUCUCGGACAGUGGGUCCUUCCACUUGUAGAAAAGCAUUGUGGGACGGAAGCCUGUCCUUUCUUCCUUUUGGUGCGAGCUUGCUGUGGUUUUUGCUCUGGGUCCUCUGGGAUGGCGCCUGGCUGUGGCCGCGUGGUCUCUCACGCAGGGGCGCCGGGCGGGGGAACGCGGCCACCCUGAGUCUGGUGAGUCGACUGCGGCGGCCUGUGUCCGAAGUGUCCGGGGCCGUGAACAAGGGCAGCGGCCUGGCCUCAGGCCUGCGUUCCCACGUUUGGAAACGGGGAGCUUCGUCGAUUUGUGUUUACAUCAUCGACUAUGCCAGGGAGUUCUCCAGAUAAGCCUGGUUUUAUUUUCGUCAGUGAAAAGGCCUUACCGUAUAACUGACUUUAUGCUUGCCCUGCCCCCGUAUAAAAUAACUUAAAAGCAGCGUGCCUGGUUACAGCUGUUUCCACGUGCGGUGCUCGUCGGGAGUGAUCACCUACCCUACAGGUGGAAGAUGGAUGCCUGAAGUGUAGACUGCUGCUAGCUGAAUACCAUCUGGGAGCAUAAAGGUGACCUGAAGGUAGGGUGAUAUGUCUUAAAGCACUUUGUAAUGGGAAUUUUUAUCACCUUUUAAAUUGGGGUUCCUUCUCUAGUGAGUUUUAAUGUCAGUGGUACAUUCGUAGUGUUGCUCUGUCUGUAGCUAUUAAGGUGAGUUAAUAAAUGGGAUAGCCUCCACAGCUUAUUUUUGGGAAGGUUUUGCUGAUACUUCCUGAGAAGCCCAGGGAAAUAAAUACGCAUAGUACUGGCAUUCUGCAUCUCUUUAAGAUUUGUUUUUAUGUGUAGUAAUUGAGUUUUUUAAAAGCUUGUGAAAUCGCAGGCAUAUUACCAAGUUCUUGAUUAAAAUGUAAUACAAAAAUAUUUGCUGUCGAAUUGAGUACUUUAUUUUUUCUCUUAGGAUGUCCUUGGUGAGGAUUUUGAAAAUUUGAUCUUCACAAGAGUUGCCUGGAUCAUUUGAAAUUUCUGGGAGUCUGAGGAGUACUGACAUAAUUACCUGCUGGAGUCUGUAAAUACACAUUUAAGACAGUGAGGAUGUGAAUAAAUAUAUUAAUGCACUUUGGCAUUUGUGUUUUAAGUGAUUAACUGCCAGAAACAGCUAUUUCUAAAAAGUUAUAAGGGAGGAGGGGUUCUUUUUUGAUCAGUAUUCACUGCUGUCACCAUAAUUAAUAGCCUUAAAAUAGCUUGUGUUUGGCCCAAAGAGAAAUGUACUUUCUUCCAGUGACUCAAAAAUCGUGGCUAGAACUAGACUGAUUUCUAGUGACAGGUGUGCUUUACUGCACUCAAUGCGUAUUUUUCCUCCAACUAAAUUGUACAUUUAAUGUUGCCAUAUCUUCUGCCUUUGCUUUGCAGGAAACGACAAAUAAUGUAUAGAGGUAUUCAAAAAAUUUAUUGAAAGCACUGUACUAGGAGCUGAGAACACGAUGAUGAGCACAACACAGUUCUUCCCUUUGGAAACAUAGAUAAGUGGAGGGAAUGUCAUCACAAAUGUAAAACUUCACUAUGAGAUGAGUUCCGUGAUAGGAUUUUCUUAGGGAAACCUGAGAAAGAGUUGAGACUAAAGGUAUGUGUCAUAUUUUUCACAAGGCAAAACUGGGGGAAUGACAUAUACAGAGGCUUGGGCUAGAAAAAAGAUACCGUUAGUCCACUUACUUUUGAGACAGUUUUGGCUGCUUUCCCUCUUCAGUGCCCUGUUUUAGAACUGAGUCCUUACUGAGGCUUGUAAGAUGGCUAUUAUGGGAGGUGAGAGUGUUACAAAAUGAGGCUGAAGAGGUAGGUAAAGAAGCCAGACCACUUCAGGCUCCCUCUGGCUUUAUUAAAGCAAGAUAAAUCCAUGGUGGAAAAUCAGAUUUGCAAGAAAAGGUAGUUGAACUAGGUUGCUUAUUGUUGUCUAGACAAGAGACCAGCUUGGACUAGUAAAAUUAGUGAAAUAAGAUCGUUUAUAGUUGGAUGACAGAGCCAACUAGACGUGGUAAUAGUGGAGGUGUCCAUAACUGCUAGGUGUCCAGCUUGCACACUGAUGAGCAUAAUGACCCUAGAUUCAGCUGGGGAGCAGCAUUUAAACAGCUGAAUUUUUAAAUUACCUUUGAGAAACCCAAAUGGUCUUUUUGCAGUAGCACAUUACUCAGUAGUCUAAACUACAGAAAUAAACCUUAAGGCCAUGGGUAUAAAUGAGAUCUGCUGGUGGUAGAGGAAGAGGGCCUAGGGUCUGAAGUUUGAGAAACUCCACUAAUUAAUGGCAAGGUAAAGCAUGAUAAGCCAGAAAGGAUGGUCAGUGGUAGGAGCAAAAUAGGAUUAUAUUAAAGAAGCAAAAGAAUGUCCUAAAAAUUCUCCCUGGGAUUAAGUAACACAGUGAUUGAUAUUAGUGGAGUAGAGGGAAAGAUCCAUGUUAGAGAUAGCUUAAGAUAGGGAUUAGAUGAAUUGAGGGCAAUGACUAAAGAUACUGCUUGCAAGAAAACUGGCUGAGAAUGAGAGGAAAAUCUUAGUUGCUUGGCGGGAGGGGGUUUGUGGUUGUGAAAGAUAGUUUUGUUUAAUCUUAGUCUUAAAUUUAAAACCAAGUAGCAAGGAUCUAGCUGAGAGAAUAAUUGAAUACAUUAAUAUAGGAGGACAGACAAAGAUCCUGAAAAGGCUGGGAGAAGAGCAUCCAAAGCACAGGUGGAGAGACAAAAAGGUUAGGGCUGCUGGCAGCUGUGGAGAGAACUGUACGUGGUAAGGGGGAGAUAUAAGAUGUCCUGCAUAAGUAUUUUCCCUGUAGAUUGCAAAGUCAUCUAUGGAGAGGAAAGGUACAAAAUAGUCACUGGGGAGAGCAGGUGAAUUAGAUGGCCAAGCAGGGUGGAUGGAUCAUUUGAGGUUUGGGGUGACAGAUCAACUGAGAUCCACUUACACUUCUGAAAACGCAAGAACACUUUAGAAAUUAACAACACUUAAAGCUUUUUACAUCAUUUGUAAAUAACUGGUGGAACUUAACACCACAAAAUAAAGUAUUAUAAAGAACUUUAUAUGAAUAAAAAUAUAUGCAGUCUGAAAG
rnacentral:lncRNA from 1 species